rnacentral:tRNA from 2 species
CGGAGUGUAGCUCAGCCUGGUAGAGCACUGUCUUCGGGAGGCAGGGGCCGGGUGUUCGAAUCACCCCACUCCGACCA